UGGGGAAUAUUGGGCAAUGGGCGCAAGCCUGACCCAGCAACGCCGCGUGAAGGAAGAAGGCUUUCGGGUUGUAAACUUCUUUUGUCAGGGACGAAACAAAUGACGGUACCUGACGAAUAAGCCACGGCUAACUACGUGCCAGCAGCCGCGGUAAUACGUAGGUGGCAAGCGUUAUCCGGAUUUACUGGGUGUAAAGGGUGUGUAGGCGGGAGUGCAAGUCAGAUGUGAAAAUUAUGGGCUCGACCCAUAACCUGCAUUUGAAACUGUACUUCUUGAGUACUGGAGAGGCAGGCGGAAUUCCGUGUGUAGCGGUG
rnacentral:rRNA from 1 species